ACACAAUCUGUAGCCAAUAAAAGAUGGCUCGGUUGCUCCUCUUUGAAAGAGACAGUCAGUUGGCUGCAACUGUUUGCAGCUCAGCAGAGGUUUUCCAUGCUAGUGGAAGUCACAUGAGCAGCAUCUGUGAGGAGAGGGAACAGCUGAGGAGCAGACAAUUGACCUUAAUGACUUAUCCUUUCACCAGUGGUUGUGGGCUCUACUGGGUUUGAAGGAGUUACCAAAGCAUUUGGAACUAUGCUGUAAUCCACACUGCUCUGUGGGGGAUAUCCACCACCACCAAACCCCAAAAAGCAGCUUCUGCCCAGAUAUUUAAAAGACUAAAAUACACCGUGCUGCUCAUAAAGCUGAAACCUGCGGUGAAGCUGAGGAUAUGGCAUUGGGAAAUGGUGGUUUAAACAAAGAGCACAGGCUGUUAGUUAACGAAGAGAAUUUGGAGCUGGGACUUUUAUUCUCAGAAGCUGUGUUGCUGGAAGAUGAAACUGCUACUCUGAAACCUGACUUUUACCUUGACACUCUGUAACCAGGAAGAUUUGGCUACGUGGAGACACAGUGCCACCUUGGGAAUAUGUGGAGAGGAUGUGUACAGUGUGAAAAGAGACAUAAGAGAAGGUCACAGUGCUGUGCUUGAGGCUACGAGAUGGACUCUUUGUUAUUCCAGCAGGAUUAGCCUAUGCUCUAUUGAGUGGGGCAAAGGACCAUUGAGUGAGGUUCUAGCUCUAAAAAGAGGAGGCCAGAGAGAAGUCUAAAUGAAAACCUGAAGAGCUUUCCCCACAAAAAGCAGACUUCAAUCUUGUCAGUUGUUUCAUGACAUAGCUCCCUAUGCAGUGGAACGCAUUAAAACAAAAGUCGAGCUAUGGAUCUUUCAUGACCGGGACUGGUAAGAACGUUUGUCUUGCAUGUUAUGCAAAAGGACACAGCAGCAGAGUGACUCUGUGCUGAAUCAGAGGGAAGGGCAUCACUUGCCGAACACCAAUAUCACUUCCCUGAAGCACCUGCCGGUUGCCCAGCCACGUAUUGAAUAAGCAUAGGCCUGCUUAGCUUGCGAGAAGCACACCUCAACGUGGAACCUGUGCAGGAGUCCGCUGUUGCAGUUGGGAAAAGGGGUGCAAAGUCUUCUAAAGCAAUCAGAUGUGAACUGAGCAUGAGGAGCACUACAAACUGGAGGUAGCGACCCCAGUGAUGAAUUGGAAGUGAACGCAUUUGCUUGUUAAGUUUACACGGCCACGUCUGGCAGCAUUCUGCUCCCUGGAGACUGGAUUUCUGCAGCCCUGCCGAGAGCAUCCCAAGGUUCCGUAAGUGUGCUGCCAAUGCUGAAAACUUUUACAUCUUGCACAUUUUAUAAGUCAUGAAUUUGUAAAUGGACAUAUGGGUUGUGAAUCUUCAUCUUGUCUUUAAAGUCAUGCUUUUGAGAACCUUCUUUCUGCCUUGCGCAUGAAGAAGAAAAGAGCUGUAUAAACUGUGGUAGAUCUCUGGUUGGUAUUCAGCUUAACAGGCUCAAUUCGCUACCUGUGGAAGCCAGACUGCAGUUUCUCAGUAGUGGAGGAGAAGGCCAAGGUGUGUGUCAGUCUACAUGCAACCUUCAUUUAGUCUGGAACUACAGGUUUAGCCUGAACGUGGGUGCGAUCAGGAAUGGGGAGAGCCAGGGUACAAAAGAGGGCAAAUGAAAUGAGCUAAGUAAUUUUAGCUUGGACAACUAGAUGUCAGGGAUGUAAGAAAAUUCCUGUCCGUGUUCAAUUGGUUGUAAUUAUCAAGGAGGCAGAGGGAGUGCUUACAGGGGUGGAGUGGAAUUAAAUUUGGGGCAAUGGGACGAACAUUAAGAAUGUCACUUUAAGAUGAGAGUCAGCAAAGGUGUGGUGUGUGUUUGUUUUAGGUUUUUUCUUUAAUGGUGAGAUCUGUUGUGCUGUGGAAUAGUGCCCCACAGGGAGGGAUAGAAGUCCCGUUGUCUGAGACAUUUAAAACAGGACUGUACAAAAAUGUGGCAAAUUGACUAUAUGGGUUCUUCAUGGGUGCCUCUCACUGUGGUAUGUGACUUCCUUCCAAAAGAAGAAAGCACAAAUCCUGUGUCUUCUCUAGUCUUGCUGACACAAAAUUAACCUAAAGGUAUUGAUUUUAUAUAUUUAUAAAUGUGAGGAGGGUGAUGUGUGUGAGAGGACUAUCCAGGGAAAUCUAAAUGAAGAGAUGAGUUUCAUGUUCAGUUCUGAAAGUGUCAAGGGCUGGUACUGUUCCCAUUUCAUCUGGCAGUGAGUUCUUUAGGCUCAGCUCCAGUGAGAGACUGUAGGAACCUGUUUGCACAUGUGCAGGGAAAUGGACUUGGCUGCCUAAUACAAUGGGUCAGACGCUCUCCAACUAGAAGUUGCAACAACCUUGCCCUUUCCUGUACUGCUACACGGGGAGGGAGUUUCUGAGUGGGUCUUAGUUGUGUGGUAGGCAUGGUCUCGAUUAUGGGAAAGGUUGAGAACCACUGCUGUUGGUUCUUUCUGUCUUUAGCACAUCAACAGUUGCAUCAUCUUUGAACGUAAAGAGUGACAAUAUGAACUAGAGGAGUUUGUCUACCUGAAUUUGAACGUCUGGAGAACAGUUUUAGUCAUGGAGUGCACAAAGCAUAAAUCAACACCUUCAAAAAUUUGCCCUUCCAGUUAAGAUGAUGAUGGCACAGUCUUUUAGAAAUAGCUGUUGCUGGCGAACUCUGUGAAUAAAGCAGUUUCUUUUAUACAGUAGUGGCACUGUUAUCCUCCAAGAAGCAAACUCUUACCUGGAUGGAUAUUGAGACUACAUUUCAUUUCUGCAGUGGCCCCUAGUAGAAUCUCUGGUUUUGCCAAGCAACAAUUUACUUUGAAACCUGCCCCUCGGAUGGAAGGAGGAGACCAUACAUAUCUAGCAGAGCCGGUUAGAAAUCUUCCUUCAAAACUCUUCUUCCCCCCAUUCCCUCCCGCACUCCCAACCCACUUUAUUAAUAAAAUCAGAAAC